rnacentral:rRNA from 1 species
AGAGUUUGAUCCUGGCUCAGGAUGAACGCUAGCGGCAGGCCUAAUACAUGCAAGUCGGACGGUCCCUUCGGGGAUAGUGGCAAACGGGUGCGUAACGCGUAAAUAACCUGCCCCAAACUGGGGGAUAGCCCGGCGAAAGCUGGGGUAAGCCCGCAUAGUCUUUUUGCCUCACCUGGGGCGAUCAGUAAAACAGCAAUGUGGUUUGGGAGGGAUUUGCGUCUGAUUAGCUAGUUGGUAAGGUAAUGGCUUACCAAGGCGACGAUCUGUAACCGACCUGAGAGGGUGGUCGGUCACACUGACACUGAAUAACGGGUCAGACUCCUACGGGAGGCAGCAGUCGGGAAUUUUGGGCAAUGGGCGAAAGCCUGACCCAGCAACGCCGCGUGAAGGAUGAAGUAUUUCGGUAUGUAAACUUCGAAAGAAUGGGAAGAAUAAAUGACGGUACCAUUUAUAAGGUCCGGCUAACUACGUGCCAGCAGCCGCGGUAAUACGUAGGGACCAAGCGUUGUUCGGAUUUACUGGGCGUAAAGGGCGCGUAGGCGGCGUGUUAAGUCAGCUGUGAAAUCUCCGAGCUUAACUCGGAACGGUCAGCUGAUACUGAUGUGCUAGAGUGCAGAAGGGGCAAUCGGAAUUCUUGGUGUAGCGGUGAAAUGCGUAGAUAUCAAGAGGAACACCUGAGGUGAAGACGGGUUGCUGGGCUGACACUGACGCUGAGGCGCGAAAGCUAGGGUAGCAAACGGGAUUAGAUACCCCCGUAGUCC